rnacentral:sRNA from 1 species
UCGGAUAGAAUCUGAGCAGAAAGAAGACGACUUCAAUCCCGCACCAAUCUUGCCAUCUCGUCACCCCCCUACUGUCCAAGAAUCCUUUGUAUGGCUGAAAUGACUGCUCUGUCUUACUAUGAAGAGAAAAGACGUGAAAGAGAAAGAGCCAACCAAGAGAAGGCCAUGAUUAUGUCCGACAAGGUAGUGAUGUCGGGAACCCUGGAAGACAGAAAACUCCGAGCUGUGGAGAAAGCCAAGCAGCCGUAGACCGAUGACGGGACGAGGUCCCGUCAAACAUCUGGAAAGGCCCCGGUCCUAGCCGGAAAAAAGACUAAAACUCUUACUUCGGAGAUGAGGACUCCCAACAAGAAUGCUUCCAGCAAGGACCCUUCGAGGCGAGAUGGUGACAGAAAAAGAAAUCAGCCGGAAGAUGACACUCGUUCUUCUGUGCGCACUUCUCGAGCUCGAACCGAAGAGAAAUCUGUUGGCGCAAGCAAACAGAAGGGUAAGAGGAAAAAAGGUUCACAUGACCUUGUGGUCCUUUCUUCUCGAGAGUCGAGGACCCGCAAUUCGGAAUGUCGAAACACAACUCCUCCUCCAGGUAAUCGACUCUACCUCUAAAUUUGCUUUUACUCGAUUGUGACUUUAAGAAAUGGCUUUCACACCAUCCUUCUUUAUCCCAGCUCUUUCUUUAACCAAAUCUAAGUGCCACCGCAACAGAGACUCUCAAGCUAACCUAGUCCCAGACUCAAUCACCAUUGACGAGAGCUAACCUAACAGGCAUUACGAAUCAACAAGUUAAAGCCAAAACGCUCCCUGCAACCAAUACCUUGGUACAGGGUCACGAAUCUCUGGAAUUAGUGGUUCAGACAUUUCAUCGAACACCUUUUGGGUGCGGAAAUGUCUGGGCUCAAAUUCCAGUUGAUCAGAAAGCAAUAGGCAUUAAGAAAAACUAAUCCAGAAGGGAUCUAUCAACCAAUACUCAAUCACCUCGUAUACUGAGAAUUCUACACUACUCUAACCCAUCCUCAGAAACAUAUUCACUACUCAGACAUCAUAACAGAAAGCAUAAACGUUGAACAAAUUGAAAACAUGAUAACAACAAUGUAACAGCAGGAUGAUAACAGAAUGAACAACAGUAAACGAAAUCAAGAACAGAAAUUGAAUACUGAAUACUGAAUAGAUAAAGAGAAAUCCGGAUUACAAAAAGUCUAGAACACAUUGUCUCCAAAAAUGUGAAGUACAUGCUACUUAUAGCCAAAUAUCCCGAAACCAUAAUACUCAAAACGACGAAGUAUUGGGACGGGUUAAGAACAGUACUCGACCCACGUGGUCGAGUGAGAGGUCGAGUGAAUAGCUGGAGUCUUCUUUUCUUCCUUGUGCUCGAGUGUCUGGUUGAGUGCAGAAUGAAGAAGGCUCUGAAGCUUGUCACCAAGUAUGCAGUCGAGUGGUGGUGAUGGUGAUACUCGACAUCCAGGUAGAGUGAUGAGGUCGAGUAGAGGUCUGGCAAUGGGAUGAAGUCAGUCGGCCUGGGGGUCGAGUGAUAUGAUCGAGUGGUGUCAGAAGAUACUCGACUUCUAGGUUGAGUGACGAGGUCGAGUGGUGGUCUGAUGAUGGAGGUGAAGACACUCGACCUCAUGGUUGAGUGAUGUGAUCGAGUGAUGGUCUGGUGAUGGAGAUGAGGGCACUCGACCUCGUGGUCGAGUGGUGAAGUGAAGUGGUGAUGUCCUCUGCUCGACCUGGGGGUCGAGUGGUCUCUUGAGAUCUUGAAGCUCCUACUCGACCUCUUGGUCGAGUGGUUUGUCAUGAUCAGGUCCGCUUCUUCCAGAUAGCUCGUCAACAGCUCCAAAUCACCUGAAAUCAACGCAAAUAUGCAACAUGCAUGCAAAACUAUCCUAAACAUGCAAAGUGAUGACAAAUGAUGUGAAAUGGUAUAAAACAGUGAUUAUAUGAUGCUAAAAUGAUGACAAAUGGAUGCUCAAAACAUGCAAAAUACACACUUAUCAACUCCCCCAAACUUAGUCUUUGCUUGCCCUCAAGCAAACAAUCAAGAACAAGCUGGAGGUGAGGUUUGGAAGCGGGGACUCAGAGCCAAAACACAAGAUAGACCAGAUGAAAUCAAUGUCCAAGUUGAAAGUUCUAAGCUGCAAGAUCGAAUUCUACUUAAAAACGUUAACCAUGCCUCAUCAAUCAAUCAAUCCGACUCAUAUGCUCGACCUACACAAGUUUUCAAAUCUACCAAUCCCUUUAACAUUCAUUAGUUCUGGAACGUGAAUCAAGCAAUGCAUCAUCAAAGAACUCAUUUGGCUAAGGUAAAAGGUCAAGAGACAAAGAUGGUCCCUUACAGAAUAUGCUUCUGUAACAGGGGAUCUCUCAAAAAAUGAUUAACCUUUAGUAGAAUGCUAAAGGUAAGUCCCGAGCUAUGCAUAUAGAGAUAAGAUCCCAUCUACCCAGAGUAUGUCAAAUGAAGCUCUAAUGGUAAUCCCAUCUCCAAUCCCAAUAUAAGAACUUAACUCUACCCUUUGCAUUCAUGAAUCUUUUAAGCCCUUUUUCUAAUCAUUCUUUUCUUUUCUCUUAACUCUAGGAGAAGUUUUCUCAACACUUUGAUACAUCUAGCGGAUUUGGAUUUCUUUAACAACUAAGGUUCUUGUUUUUAACAUUUUAAAACCAAGGGCUUUUGCCCAUCUUCAAUAGCUAUCAAGAACUCUUUCUUUUCUUUACAAAUCCCAAAACCUUUACUAGACUUUUUCUGCUUCUUUAGCUUACUUCACCUAGAGUCUUUUACCUUUUCUUAUCAAUGAAUCAACCCCCUUUUUUCUUUUUUCUUUUAAACACAUCCCAACCCAAAGUAUAAGCGCCCACCUAGUCCUAUCUAGUCCGAAAAAUGCGAACUAGAACUACAUGAGACACUAUCUCUGUCGUUACGAACCUAACACUUUCUACCAAGCUUAAUCGGAAUAAGACCUCUCAAACACUCACAAGUGAUAUAGGGCUUGAAAGAAAGUUUAGGUUUGGGUUUGGGUUAACUGCUCUAAUAAGGAGAGUCAGCUACUUGGAUUAACAAGAGUGAUCAAAAUGAAUAAGAAAAUCCAAGUAUUUUAGGGUAUCCAUGAGUUCAAAUUUGAUGCAGACAUGAUAAUUAAAGAUCAGAUUCAGGUUCAAAUUGAUAGGGAACUGUAUCAGAUCAUGACAGUGUGGUCGAGUAGAGCAAUCUAGGCAUGGUUCAGUUUUAUUUCAAAUUCAUUGACUAUGCAACAGACAACUAGCAACGAGGGCAAUGAGUUUAUCCGGUGAAUCAAAAUGCUUACAAGGCUAUCUCAUCAUCAUCCCCUAUGCAUAUGCAACAAUCCUAAAUGAAACACUCUAGACUCGAUCCUAAAUGUGAUGCAACUACAUGAGCACUCUUUAUUUUGUGAAAUCAUUUU